UUGGACGCUGGCGGCAUGCCUUACACAUGCAAGUCGAACGGCAGCACGGGAGCAAUCCUGGUGGCGAGUGGCGAACGGGUGAGUAAUAUAUCGGAACGUGCCCAGUCGUGGGGGAUAACGCAGCGAAAGCUGUGCUAAUACCGCAUACGAUCUCUGGAUGAAAGCGGGGGACCGUAAGGCCUCGCGCGAUUGGAGCGGCCGAUAUCAGAUUAGCUAGUUGGUGGGGUAAAAGCCCACCAAGGCGACGAUCUGUAGCUGGUCUGAGAGGACGACCAGCAACACUGGAACUGAGACACGGUCCAGACUCCUACGGGAGGCAGCAGUGGGGAAUUUUGGACAAUGGGCGCAAGCCUGAUCCAGCAAUGCCGCGUGCAGGAUGAAGGCCUUCGGGUUGUAAACUGCUUUUGUACGGAACGAAACGGCUCACUCUAAUACGGUGGGCUAAUGACGGUACCGUAAGAAUAAGCACCGGCUAACUACGU
rnacentral:rRNA from 1 species